rnacentral:rRNA from 1 species
UCCAGACUCCUACGGGAGGCAGCAGUGGGGAAUAUUGCACAAUGGGGGAAACCCUGAUGCAGCGACGCCGCGUGAGUGAAGAAGCGCCUCGGCGCGUAAAGCUCUGUCAGCAGGAACGAUAAUGACGGUACCUGAAGAAGAAGCCCCGGCUAACUACGUGCCAGCAGCCGCGGUAAUACGUAGGGGGCAAGCGUUAUCCGGAUUUACUGGGUGUAAAGGGGGCGCAGACGGCAGCGCAAGCCAGGAGUGAAAGCCCGGGGCCCAACCCCGGGACUGCUCUUGGAACUGCGCGGCUGGAGUGCAGGAGGGGCAGGCGGAAUUCCUGGUGUAGCGGUGAAAUGCGUAGAUAUCAGGAGGAACACCGGUGGCGAAGGCGGCUUACUGGACUGUAACUGACGUUGAGGCUCGAAAGCGUGGGGAGCAAACAGGAUUAGAUACCCCUGUAG